CCAACUCCUGGGCCUGCAUGUCCUGGCGUGUGUAGCCCUGUGCCCCCCAUCUUUGCCCCACCAGAGGAGGUUACCUAGCCUGGCAGCCAGGUUAAACUUCCAUUCUCCUUAUAAGAUCAUGUCCAGCAGCACCUGGAAUUCCUCUUCAUGCAAAUGAGGUAUCCCUAGGAUCCUGGCCCUGGCCGAUGACAUACACUGAUCCUAUAGCCCCUACCCACCCCCAAAGGUUUAAAUAGCCUUUGUUACCCCAGUAAGCUGAACUAGUUCUAGAAAGCUGUUCCUGGGUGUGUGUGUUCUUUGUCUGCACACUCACAGUUGAUCCUGCCUGCACAUAACCGAGUCCUGCUGAGUUUCUCUUCCUCCAGAUAGCCUGGUGCACAGCAGGCCUGGCUACCCUGAGGGGGAGAAGCAAACAGGGGCCACCACCCGACAACCUAAGUUCUUCUCCCAGAACCCACGGUAGAAGCAAUUCAGAGGCUCAUCUCUUCUGGAGACAUUCCCAAACCCAUGUCCACAUGUGACCAGCUAUUUGGUCACCGUAAACCAGGCAAGUCAGCACAUGAAAUAAACCAUCCACAGCUGGUCUUUAUUUCCAUGAAGAUUUCAUGUUUGUGUAAGUAGGACUUUUACUAGGGAGUGCUACUGUCUGAGCAUGGGCCACCUGUUUUAUUUCUUUGUUUCCAAUUUUGGAACAUGGUUUAUGAAUUUUGGAGCUUUGUAGACACAGAACAACUGAUUUCUCUCCUGAAUCCCUGCUCUCAGGCAUGGAGUCUUUGUGUCUGAGUGAGAGCCUGCUGUGCUGUGACCUGGGGACAAGGCUGCCUUGGAGACACAGUCACUCUCAGCAUGCACUUCUGCGGACAAAGGUUAUGUUCAGAGUUUGGGAUUUUAUUCACUUGGAAAGAAAAGAUGUUGAACAGAAAGGCCACAGCUCAGCUGGGAUAUUACUCCAUAGUUAUGGUUGUUCUGGAUCUCACCAUGAAGACCAAGCUGGCCUUGCACUCACAGAGAUCCUCCUGCCUCUGUCUCCCGAGUGGAGGGAUUAAAGGCAUGCACCACCAGCUCUUCCUUUUCUUUUUUGAAACAGGGUCUGCUGCAGCCCAGGCUGGCCAGAAACACCAAUUGAUAUUUAAACCAAAUUUUCUCAGUCAACUAAUAGUUUUUAGAAAUAAAGAAGACUGGUAGCAUCAUGCCUGCUGGUAGUUGUAGUUCUUACAAUCCUGCCACAAGAUCUCCUGAUGUCAAACGUUUGAAAUGAACGCAGCCCUUCUAGUAUUUUCUCCCUCAAUUUCUCUCAUCCUUCUUCUUGAAUGUGUGAAGGAUGGACGCACAUUUGAAGCCUGUUUCCUCAGGAUAUCACUCACUGGAGAAAAGCUGAUUGAGAUGUUUAAAUGGUACCUUUCUUCCUGAAAUAUCUGAGCAGUUUGCCGCCAGCCCUGGGGGUUUUAUUAUCCUAAGUGACUUUGCUGUCUAUAAAUCACAACCCUAAGUAGCCAAAGGGAACACGUUAACCAGAUCCCUUAAAAAUAUAACAGAGGCUUCCUGGAUUGUUAGUGGAGCAAUUGACUUCCUCGGCUCAGGCCGCCUGACAACCUGGAGCCAAGCUGCUCAGACACAGCCUCAUCCCUCACAGCCAUCCCUGGAAUUGAACUUACCUCUGCAUACAUUUUGUGGCAACAACCCACUCCCAGUUUUGAGAUGGGCCUUAGUAUUCCUCUUCAUUCAGAUCCAGAUCAUCUGGCCAUCACGGGCAUCUUCUGAGCGCUCAGCUGGCUCUGCCCAGACCCCUCUCUGGACACCUGCGGGGCUCAUCUCAGCCUCCUCACCAGUGUCCCAGGCUUUUUAGUGAGAACAAGAACAUUAGAUAUAGGUUCAGGUGCAAGGAAUAGAAAGCCCCUAAAUACUUGCAUAAAUUAGCAUGAAGGAAGCCAGGGCGUAGGCAGGUUAGGGCUGGUGUGAGGACUCUGUAAUCACCAGGGACCCAAGCUCCUUGGAUAUGACCCUAUGCUCAUGACAGGAGAAACUCCAGCUAGCACACCAUUUUGUCUUCUCUCAAGGAAAUGUCCCAGAAGACUCACAUGACAUUUUGCCUCCGUGUUUUUGCAUGGGAUUUAGUCCCAGGAUUCCACAGAGAUUUGAAAGAUGGUGGGAAUGCAGUCUGUCAACUUGGUGGCAAGAAAAGGCCAAGUUCUCAGCUCUGCUUAAAGUACUAAACUAUACAUCAAGCUUCACCAGCUAGAGUAAGAACUUGCCCUAAGUGGGCUGGAGAGAUGGCUCAGCAGCUAAGAGCACUGGCUGCUCUUUUAGAGGUCCAGGGUUAGGGUCACAACACCCACAAGGUGCUCCCUGCCAUCUACAACUUCAGUUACAUGAAACCUAACAUCCUCUUCUGGCCUGAUGGGCAUCGGAUACACAGGUGGUGAACAGACAUACGUGUAGGUAAAACAUCCAUACAAAUAAAAUGAUAAUAAAAAUGUG